UCUCAAAACAGAGAACCACAGUUUCUAAAAAUCUAUUACAAGAUAUGACCAACUAUAACGAUAUGGAUGAGUUUUGUUUUCUUCUCAUAGCAUAGCUCAAUCUUUGCUAAUCUUCAGACGAGGAAGAUCUUAAGGCCACCCUUGAUUCUCUCACGAAGGGAAGUGUUAUUACCAUGAGAGACUGUAACAUGAAUGACUUUUCUUAUGCUAAUCUUCAAGGUGAUGAAGAUGAUGUUUCUUUGCGUAAAUCAGCAACAAAUUCGAUUCAGAAAGUUUCGAUGUUACCACUCGUUUUCCUCAUAUUCUACGAAGUGUCAGGAGGUCCUCUUGGUGCUGAAGGCUGAAGCUAGUGUGAAUGCAGCAGGACCACUGUUAGCUUUUUCAGUGUUUAUCAUCUUCCCUUUCGUUUGGUGUAUUACUGAGGCACUGAUCACUGCUGAGAUGAGCACAAUGUUCCCUAUAGAUGGAGGCUUUGUGGUUUGGGUCUCUCGUCUGCUUUAGGACCCUUUUGAGGGUUUCAAGUAGGUUGGAUGAAAUGGCUUAGCGGGGUUAUAAAUGGAAUGGUUUUGGAGUUUACAGCAUUUGUUAGGACGAGGCUGAUAUAUAUCCGGAUGCAUCGAGACCGUACAAGAUACAGAACCCUUGGUUCGGUUAUGAUAUGUGUUCCUCCCAUAGUACUGAUAUGUUUCGUCGUUGUUCUAUUGGCUUUAGUGAGCUUUGUGAUGGUAGUCAUCGGUUUGUUGAUGAGAGACCUAGUCUAAACCAUCUCGAUGGAAAGAGAAUGGUCAAAUUCUCUCAAUCAGUGUUAUGCGCGAGUGUUUUAAGCAGGACAAUUCGGAUUUUGAAGAAUCUUUCAUACGUUAGGAGUAAAAGCUUGGAAUCCAUUGCCAUAUAAAUUGUAGUAUAUUGUUAUAAAAUAACAGAUGGAUGCACGUCACGUUAUAAGGUCCAUCUUCUAGAAUUACUUUGUCAUCAAGCAAAACUCUCUUGUACUCCUAUAUAAAAGACCAAAAGACCUUUCAUUCAUGGGAAUAAAACACCCAUAUCUUCCUUCUCUUUUAUCUAUCUAUCUAUCUAUCUAUCUAUAUAACAUAUAGAGUCAAUCUUGUGCUAGUUUUGUAGAGAGAAGAAAAAAAUGAAUGGAGUUUCUCGUCAUCUUCGAGCUUCAUCACUUCCUUAAGGUUGAUUCGCGGCUAUGGUGGUGGAAUCAAUUCUGUCCGUCGAUUUUCAUCUCAAUCUGAUGGCUUCUCUGGGGGAAGAUUCAGAGAGCAAGGGCCAUUUUCUGGAGACUGAAAAUAACAACAACUCAGGCAUACCACCAAACAGUUCCUCUUCGCCUUUGAGAUCUUUCAGUGAUUUGAAAGCAUCCUUACGAGCAAACGGUUUCUCCUACCUAUAAAUAUCUAGGUUUCUCAAACACGGGAGGAAGCAGAUUCUCAGCUCCUAGUCCAUCUACCUACGAGAAAUAUUCACUCAAUCUCCGCUUCUCAAGGAGAAUUCUCCAAGCAAAAAGAAGUCAAGCGACCUGGAGAACCUCAGGGAUAUCCGAUAGUGUACAUCGAGGACACCACUGGGAAAGCUCAUAAUGGUUGCAGGUCACCAAGGAAACGUCGGGUGUGAAAAAUAAACGUGUGGCAUGCAUGAACCAAUGGGAUUCGAUUUAUAUUCCUCUAUGGUCACUGCGGAAACCAUUUUGUUUUGCAAAUUUGUCUCUUUUGUUUCUCGUUUACGAUCCGAAGAAAAUCGGGUAUGAUGAACCAAUGGGAUUUGAUUUAUAAACACCUGAACUUGGUUCUAUAUUCUCUUCCACGUUCUUUUGAGAUUUUUGAACCAAAGGGUUUUGAUAACUAAACCUGAACUUGGUUAACCGUGAUCCGGUUUUUCCCGUUUUGACACAAUACAAAUGUCUAAACAAAAAGAUCACAAGAAUCAGCCAGACCCAAUUGAAUAUAUCUAAACCUAAUAUUUUAAAUUGUGAAAUCUUUGUCUCAAAAUUUUAAACUUUGGUUGCAUUCAUAAGAUUUAGACUACUACAGACCGAUUCUUGGUUCGGUUCGGGUAAAACCUGAAGACCUAGUGGUAUCCAAAAACACCUAAAAGGCCUAAUCUACCACAAAAGUACCAAAC